rnacentral:rRNA from 1 species
GACGAACGCUGGCGGCGUGCUUAACACAUGCAAGUCGAACGGAAAGGCCCCUUUGGGGGUACUCGAGUGGCGAACGGGUGAGUAACACGUGAGUAACCUGCCCUUGACUUCGGGAUAACUUCAGGAAACUGGGGCUAAUACCGGAUAGGAAUCCUUGCUGCAUGGUGGGGGUUGGAAAGCUUCGGCGGUUUUGGAUGGACUCGCGGCUUAUCAGCUUGUUGGUGGGGUAGUGGCUUACCAAGGCUUUGACGGGUAGCCGGCCUGAGAGGGCGACCGGCCACAUUGGGACUGAGAUACGGCCCAGACUCCUACGGGAGGCAGCAGGGGGGAAUAUUGCACAAUGGGCGGAAGCCUGAUGCAGCAACGCCGCGUGCGGGAUGACGGGCUUCGGGUUGUAAACCGCUUUCAGCAGGGGCGAAGCUUGUGGUGACGGUACCUGCAGAAGAAGCACCGGCUAACUACGUG